GUCCCGGUUUAAGCGUGUAGGCUGGUUUUCCAGGCAAAUCCGGAAAAUCAAGGCUGAGGCGUGAUGACGAGGCACUACGGUGCUGAAGCAACAAAUGCCCUGCUUCCAGGAAAAGCCUCUAAGCAUCAGGUAACAUCAAAUCGUACCCCAAACCGACACAGGUGGUCAGGUAGAGAAUACCAAGGCGCUUGAGAGAACUCGGGUGAAGGAACUAGGCAAAAUGGUGCCGUAACUUCGGGAGAAGGCACGCUGAUAUGUAGGUGAAGUCCCUCGCGGAUGGAGCUGAAAUCAGUCGAAGAUACCAGCUGGCUGCAACUGUUUAUUAAAAACACAGCACUGUGCA
rnacentral:rRNA from 1 species